rnacentral:rRNA from 1 species
CCUACGGGAGGCAGCAGUGGGGAAUAUUGCACAAUGGGGGAAACCCUGAUGCAGCGACGCCGCGUGAAGGAAGAAGUAUUUCGGUAUGUAAACUUCUAUCAGCAGGGAAGAAAAUGACGGUACCUGACUAAGAAGCCCCGGCUAAAUACGUGCCAGCAGCCGCGGUACUACGGAGGGGGCAAGCGUUAUCCGGAUUUACUGGGUGUAAAGGGAGCGUAGGCGGUUUAGCAAGUCAGAAGUGAAAGGCCGGGGCUCAACUCCGGGACUGCUUUUGAAACUGGUGAACUAGAUUGCAGGAGAGGUAAGUGGAAUUCCUAGUGUAGCGGUGAAAUGCGUAGAUAUUAGGAGGAACACCAGUGGCGAAGGCGGCUUACUGGACUGUAAAUGACGCUGAGGCUCGAAAGCGUGGGGAGCAAACAGGAUUAGAUACCCGUGUAGUC